rnacentral:rRNA from 1 species
UGGAACCACCUGACUCCAUGCCGAACUCAGUAGUGAAACGCAGCCGCGCCGAUGAUAGUGUGGCAGAUGCCAUGUGAAAGUAGGUCACUGCCAGGC